AUGUUCACUUUAGCAGCAUACAUACCAAAAUUGAAAUAGUACAGAGAAAAAUCAGCAUAGCACUUGCACAAGGCUGAGAAAAAUUUUCAUGGAAGUACCUUGUGU